rnacentral:rRNA from 1 species
AGUGAACGCUGGCGGUAGGCCUAACACAUGCAAGUCGAACGGCAGCACACUAAGAGCUUGCGCUUACGGGUGGCGAGUGGCGGGCGGGUGAGGAAUGUAUCGGGCUCUACAUUUUCGGGGGGCAUAACGUAGGGAAACCUAAGCUAAUACAGCAUACGCCCUACGGGUGAAAGCAGGGGAAAUUCGCACCUGGCGCGAUUGAAUGAGCCGCUGUCGGGGUAGCUAGUGGGCGGGGUAAAGGCCCACCAAGGCGACGAUCGGUAGCUCGUCUGUGAGGAUGAUCAGCGGCACUGGAACUGGAACGCGCACCAGACUCCUACGAGACGCACCAGUCGGGAAUAUUAGACAAUGGGCGCAAGCCUGGUCCAGCCGUCCCGCGUCGGUGAAGAAGACCUUCGGGUCGGAAAGCCGGUUUGUUGGGUAAGAACAGCUUCAGCUUAAGACGCAGCGUUACUGACGGUACCGAAUGAAUAAGCACCGGCUAACUUCGUG